GACCAAAUGUGUGAUUUUUUUUGAGGCGUUUUGGCAUUGACCAAAUAUAUGAUUUGUUUUGUAGGUGCAAUUUUGUCUAAGAAAGAGAAGACGGAAAUUUGCAUCCACAAAGCCAAUCUUCAUUGCAGGAGUCCUCACUCUUUCUCUCUCUCAUCCUCACCACCCUCCUCUUAUCGGCCCCCACUUCCCCCUUUCUACAAAACCCCUCUCUUUCUCAAUUCACCCAUGAGCAAAUUGGAUAAUGGAGUGUUGGGAGGAUGGUAGAAUGGAGACCUUGCAAGUGGUGGCUACAAGGGCACCUCACUGACAAUUGCAUUCGUUUGCUGCAGCUCUGCCAUCAAAGAGUAAUGGAUUCAUUCGAGUGGAUUGCUAUGGGCGCCUUAAUCAGAUGAGAAGAGAUGUGAGCGAUUGAAGCAACUUUGCGAUUGCUUUUUAUAUUCCACUUUGCUAAGCCUGAAAAUUUAUUUAUGUCGAGUGCAGUUAUGUGAUGGUGUUGGUAUUGCCCGUCUUUUAAAUGCAACCAACUUGCAUUUAAAAGACGGGGCAAUGUUAGGACUGCUUAUUGGAACGAAUCUAGGUAAUCCAUAUUUUACAUAUCAUAUACCAGUGAAGUCUGGAAUAUAACCUUCAAGUUCUGAAAGGACCAUAAAUGUUGUGGAACCUUCCAAUACGGCACUCAAUUCCCUUUUUUUUUUUUUUUUUUUUUGAAUAAAAGGAUAAAAUUUCAUUACCGUAAUCAACCAUUUACAAAUAUGCUAAAUGGGUAUAUAUGCUCUAGUGAUCAAUUUUUUGAUCUGAAGAUAAUAAUAAGCACAAAUUACAAAUAAUUUUAAACUCCUAUAUGACCAUCACACAAAUCACACCACUACAACAAAAAAUUUCAAGAUUGAUAUAUCUCAUAGACAACCUGACAUACCAAGCACCGAAACCUCACCAAAACUAUCGCCAGACAGCAAGGCAUCCCAUGGAUUUGUGUGUGUUGUGCAAGUGUUGUUGUUUUAGGA